rnacentral:piRNA from 1 species
UGGGCUUGUCCAACACAGUGAUGCGGCUCA